CACGUAGGGCGCAAGCGUUGUCCGGAAUCAUUGGGCGUAAAGCGCGCGUAGGCGGUUACUUAAGUUGGAUGUGAAAGCCCUCGGCUUAACCGAGGAAGUGCAUCCAAAACUGAGUAGCUAGAGUACGAAAGAGGGUCGCGGAAUUCCCGGUGUAGAGGUGAAAUUCGUAGAUAUCGGGAGGAACACCGGUGGCGAAGGCGGCGACCUGGGUCGAGACUGACGCUGAGGCGCGAAAGCGUGGGGAGCAAACAGG
rnacentral:rRNA from 1 species